rnacentral:rRNA from 1 species
UACGAAGGGGGCUAGCGUUGCUCGGAAUCACUGGGCGUAAAGCGCACGUAGGCGGCUCUUUAAGUCAGGGGUGAAAUCCUGGAGCUCAACUCCAGAACUGCCUUUGAUACUGAGGGGCUUGAGUCCGGGAGAGGUGAGUGGAACUGCGAGUGUAGAGGUGAAAUUCGUAGAUAUUCGCAAGAACACCAGUGGCGAAGGCGGCUCACUGGCCGGGUACUGACGCUGAGGUGCGAAAGCGUGGGGAGCAAACAGG